ensembl:lncRNA
CCCCAAUAGGCCUCAAGGGCCUUCAGUAGGGGGAGAGGUGGCCCCAAGCUGCCAUGAAGACAGCAGCUGCCCCCUGGCCUUUCCUGCAUGUCACCUUCCCUGGGCAGGACAGAUGAAUUCCUCCCUGUGUUCAUUUCCUGUGGUUGCCAUAACAAAUUAUCCUAAACCAGAUGGCUUACGACAAUGGAAAUUUAUUCUCUCACACUUCCAGAGGCUGGAGAUCUGAAAUCAACAGUAAGCCAGCUGAGGAGACAGUGGUUUUGAAGCCCAUCUGCCCAGGAGUCGUUGCUGAAGGCCCAGGGAGGAGGAGUCACCACAGGGGUGACUGCAGGCUUCUCAUCUCAUCUCAUCCUGCAUGGCUUUGUCAGUUUUAUUUGUAAGGCUUUGGUAGGACAUCCGGGAAGAGAAAGCGCUGAGCUCUGAGAGUGACGGAUGUACAGGUGGGACCUUGGACAGCAAGGCCAGGGAAGGACCUUGCCCCAGGCCACCCUGCUCCUGCGUGAGGGAAGGAAGGCUGAGACGGACAGCCACACACACCCAGAGCGUCUAUCCAGGGCCAACAGGAGAGGCCUGACGGGAAGCCAGAACACCCAGGGCCAACACCAGGCUCUGCCUUGGGCACUGUCACUUCCCUGUAGGCCUCAGUCUUGUCACCUCUAAACUGGGAAUAAGACUGUCUCCCUCAUGGUGGUUAUAGAACUGAGUAGAAAUGCCAUGUGACAAGAUGUUUGUGUGCAAGACAAAAUUCUAUACAAAUGUAAGGCAUUAAUAUUCUUAUCUAGGGUCCCUCCCAUUAAUAAACCCCCAAAUUGGCCAUGUGUGGAUAAAUGCUAAAGUUGGGUGGGAUGUGCUGUAGACUGAAUGUCCCUGUCCCCAUGAAUCCACGUGUUGAAACCCUAACAUGGGGUGGCAUCAGGAGGUGGGGCCCUGGGAGGUGACCAGAUCUCGAGAGUGGAGCCUCACGGUUGGAUUAGUGUCCUCGUAAAGAAGCCAAGAGAGCCUCUUGCCCCUUUUCUCCUCCGUGAGAUACUGCAAGAAGGCAGCUAUCUAAGAAUCAGAGCAGCAGCCCCUCACCACACCCCAAACUUGCCAGCACCUUGCCCGGGAACUUCCCAGCCUCCAGAACCGUGAGAAAAGAGCGUUUGUUGUUUCAGUUACCCAGUCUGUGGCAUUGUUACUACAGCAGCUGAGCAGACUAAGGCAAACUGGAGGUUCA